AUUGAACGCUGGCGGCAGGCUUAACACAUGCAAGUCGAGCGGGGGAAGGUAGCUUGCUACCGGACCUAGCGGCGGACGGGUGAGUAAUGCUUAGGAAUCUGCCUAUUAGUGGGGGACAACAUCUCGAAAGGAAUGCUAAUACCGCAUACGUCCUACGGGAGAAAGCAGGGGAUCUUCGGACCUUGCGCUAAUAGAUGAGCCUAAGUCGGAUUAGCUAGUUGGUGGGGUAAAGGCCUACCAAGGCGACGAUCUGUAGCGGGUCUGAGAGGAUGAUCCGCCACACUGGGACUGAGACACGGACCAGACUCCUACGGGAGGCAGCAGUGGGGAAUAUUGGACAAUGGGGGGAACCCUGAUCCAGCCAUGCCGCGUGUGUGAAGAAGGCCUUAUGGUUGUAAAGCACUUUAAGCGAGGAGGAGGCUACUCUAGUUAAUACCUAGGGAUAGUGGACGUUACUCGCAGAAUAAGCACCGGCUAACUCUGUGCCAGCAGCCGCGGUAA
rnacentral:rRNA from 1 species